GAUGAAGAACGCAGCGAAAUGCGAUAAGUAAUGUGAAUUGCAGAAUUCAGUGAAUCAUCGAAUCUUUGAACGCACAUUGCGCCCGCUAGUAUUCUGGCGGGCAUGCCUGUCCGAGCGUCAUUUCAACCCUCAAGCCCCCGGGCUUGGUGUUGGGGAUCGGCGAGCCUCCGCGCCCGCCGUCCCCUAAAUCUAGUGGCGGUCUCGCUUUAGCUUCCUCUGCGUAGUAGCACACCUCGCACUGGGAAACAGCGCGGCCACGCCGUUAAACCCCCAACUUCUGAACGUUUGACCUCGGAUCAGGUAGGAAUACCCGCUGAACUUAAGCAUAUCAAUAAGCGGAGGA
rnacentral:misc_RNA from 1 species